CCAGAAAGCGGGCUAGCCUGCACGCACGCCAAGAUGGAGCUCCAGGCUAGCCCACAGAACAGCCCAGCCGCAGCCGUCCUACCAGACCAGCACCUUGUAACCACAGUCUAACCCAGCGGGCACCAGGCGGUGAGACCUCCUGCCGCUGCCAGCCCAGGAUAGCCCCCUUGCCUCUUGCCCAAGGCUCAGGCUACCCCUUGAGGCGUCUGGAGGACACUAGGCUUGACCUGGGGAGUGGCAUGAUGGGGGGCAGGGUCCGAGGCAACGGAGAAGGCAGAAGUGACUUAGAUUGUGAGUGCCACGGGGCUGAGGCCUGCGCCGACCUGGUCUGCUGGUGCUACCAGGCUUGAACAGUCUUCAAAUCCACUGCUAUUAGGCAAAUUACCUGGCUCCCGCUGAACUCCAGCACCUAGAACUAUGUCACACUCGUAGUAGGCCGCUGCAUUGGUUGAACAAAUGAUUUUGAAAGAAUGAAUGUCUUCCUCUGUGCCUGCAUUUCCUCAGAAGGCUGUAACAAAGAUUAAAUAGGAAAA
rnacentral:lncRNA from 1 species